ACUGGGCGUAAAGGGCACGCAGGCGGCUAUUUAAGUGAGGUGUGAAAUCCCCGGGCUUAACCUGGGAAUUGCAUUUCAGACUGGGUAGCUAGAGUACUUUAGGGAGGGGUAGAAUUCCACGUGUAGCGGUGAAAUGCGUAGAGAUGUGGAGGAAUACCGAAGGCGAAGGCAGCCCCUUGGGAAUGUACUGACGCUCAUGUGCGAAAGCGUGGGGAGCAAACAGGAUUAGAUACCCUGGUAGUCCACGCUGUAAACGCUGUCGAUUUGGGGAUUGGGCCUUGAGCUUGGUGCCCGAAGCUAACGUGAUAAAUCGACCGCCUGGGGAGUACGGCCGCAAGGUUAAAACUCAAAUGAAUUGACGGGGGCCCGCACAAGCGGUGGAGCAUGUGGUUUAAUUCGAUGCAACGCGAAGAACCUUACCUACUCUUGACAUCCAUGGAAUCUUGUAGAGAUAUGAGAGUGCCUUCGGGAACCAUGAGACAGGUGCUGCAUGGCUGUCGUCAGCUCGUGUCGUGAG
rnacentral:rRNA from 1 species